rnacentral:rRNA from 1 species
GGGUUGUGAGGUUAAGCGACUAAGCGUACACGGUGGAUGCCCUGGCAGUCAGAGGCGAUGAAGGACGUGCUAAUCUGCGAUAAGCGCCGGUAAGGUGAUAUGAACCGUUAUAACCGGCGAUUUCCGAAUGGGGAAACCCAGUGUGACUCGUCACACUAUCAUUAACUGAAUCCAUAGGUUAAUGAGGCGAACCGGGGGAACUGAAACAUCUAAGUACCCCGAGGAAAAGAAAUCAACCGAGAUUCCCCCAGUAGCGGCGAGCGAACGGGGAGGAGCCCAGAGCCUGAAUCAGCAUGUGUGUUAGUGGAAGCGUCUGGAAAGGCGCGCGAUACAGGGUGACAGCCCCGUACACAAAAGCGCAUGUGCUGUGAGCUCGAUGAGUAGGGCGGGACACGUGGUAUCCUGUCUGAAUAUGGGGGGACCAUCCUCCAAGGCUAAAUACUCCUGACUGACCGAUAGUGAACCAGUACCGUGAGGGAAAGGCGAAAAGAACCCCGGCGAGGGGAGUGAAAAAGAACCUGAAACCGUGUACGUACAAGCAGUGGGAGCACCCUUUGGGGGUGUGACUGCGUACCUUUUGUAUAAUGGGUCAGCGACUUAUAUUCUGUAGCAAGGUUAACCGAAUAGGGGAGCCGGAGGGAAACCGAGUCUUAACCGGGCGUUAAGUUGCAGGGUAUAGACCCGAAACCCGGUGAUCUAGCCAUGGGCAGGUUGAAGGUUGGGUAACACUAACUGGAGGACCGAACCGACUAAUGUUGAAAAAUUAGCGGAUGACCUGUGGCUGGGGGUGAAAGGCCAAUCAAACCGGGAGAUAGCUGGUUCUCCCCGAAAGCUAUUUAGGUAGCGCCUCGUGAAUUCAUCUCCGGGGGUAGAGCACUGUUUCGGCUAGGGGGCCAUCCCGGCUUACCAACCCGAUGCAAACUGCGAAUACCGGAGAAUGUUAUCACGGGAGACACACGGCGGGUGCUAACGUCCGUCGUGAAGAGGGAAACAACCCAGACCGCCAGCUAAGGUCCCAAAGUCAUGGUUAAGUGGGAAACGAUGUGGGAAGGCCCAGACAGCCAGGAUGUUGGCUUAGAAGCAGCCAUCAUUUAAAGAAAGCGUAAUAGCUCACUGGUCGAGUCGGCCUGCGCGGAAGAUGUAACGGGGCUAAACCAUGCACCGAAGCUGCGGCAGCGACACUAUGUGUUGUUGGGUAGGGGAGCGUUCUGUAAGCCUGUGAAGGUGGCCUGUGAGGGUUGCUGGAGGUAUCAGAAGUGCGAAUGCUGACAUAAGUAACGAUAAAGCGGGUGAAAAGCCCGCUCGCCGGAAGACCAAGGGUUCCUGUCCAACGUUAAUCGGGGCAGG